rnacentral:rRNA from 1 species
AACGAACGCUGGCGGCAGGCCUAACACAUGCAAGUCGAACGCUGUAGCAAUACAGAGUGGCAGACGGGUGAGUAACGCGUGGGAACCUUCCCAAUGGUACGGAAUAGCCCAGGGAAACUUGGGGUAAUACCGUAUACGCCCCUAGGGGGGAAAGAUUUAUCGCCACUGGAUGGGCCCGCGGCGGAUUAGCUAGUUGGUGAGGUAAUGGCUCACCAAGGCAACGAUCCGUAGCUGGUUGGAGAGAAUGACCAGCCACACUGGGACUGAGACACGGCCCAGACUCCUCCGUGGUGCAGCAGUGGGGAAUCUUGGACAAUGGGCGCAAGCCUGAUCCAGCCAUGCCGCGUGAGUGACGAAGGCCUUAGGGUUGUAAAGCUCUUUUGCCUAGGACGAUAAUGACGGUACCCGGAGAAUAAGUCCCGGCUAACUUCGUGCCAGCAGCCGCCGUAA